rnacentral:lncRNA from 1 species
GGAAAAAUUACGUCUAGCCGCAUGACCAUCCUGAGAGCAAAGGCUUUCAGGAAAUCAAAUACGCCACUAACGUAAGGGCUCAAAUCAACAUGCCUAAUUGUUUUUUAUUUAUCUCCCUUUUUGUAUAACUCUCUGGUUAUCGAGGGAAAGGGACCUUCGUAAUCUAGAUUCCCACAAUGAUCCUUGGAUAAUGCGCUCAAGUGAAUAAAUAUUAUUUUCUGAACUGAGAAUUGUUUAUUUUUGCUGCAUUUUUCAGGCUUACACUUGGCUGGCCUGGUAGGUUAGAGAUUAGCCACUAUUUCCAUCAAAGGACUCUAAACCAUACCAGGAGAUUUACCCAGCCAAUACAUUAUCUUUUCUUUCAUGUGGCUAAGUACAACAAUGUAGAUCUAUACAAGCACUUAAAAACCAGUUAUUUGUGUGCAAAAGUAGAUCUACAGUUCCAAUCAAUAAUACUGUCUCCAACUGAAAGAGAACCACUCUUUGUUGGAACAGUAUUCCCUGGGGGAACAUUAUUUAUAGAACAAGCAUAAUAAUCAGAGAAUAUCAGUCUUCUUUUUUCAUGUGAUGAAGCUGGUGUAAUCACAUGAAUACCUUCAAGGAGAUGGAAGUUUUCUGUGUAUAGAAUGAUUAUCAUUGUAAAUAUCUCUGGGCAGCAUUCAUGAAAAGUAAAGCUUUUUGAGUAGAUUACCAUUGUAACCAAACUUUAUCCCACUAAGUGGAAUCGGCUACAUGUAUCAAUUUACGCCAUAAUGUUAUAUCAUAAAUCAUAUU